rnacentral:lncRNA from 1 species
CCAAGACCAGGCACCCAGAGAUCUCACAUUCAGCCCCUCCCACGAAGAAGCUCCAGGAUGAGAGCUGACCUGUUAGGGAGAUAAUAUCAAAGUCCAUGUGACACCCUCCAAGGGAGACUUUCCCUCUGUGUCUUAAGUGGUAGAAGAGAAAACAGUCAUCAAUCAGAAGGUGGGUGAGAUUUAGGAGCCUCCAGUGGGUCCUCCUGAUGCUUCUGACACUGGACCUAUGUGGACCGAUGUGCACAGAUGAGGUUAUGCAGUCCUGCACCUCCAGACCUGGUGAUGGAGAACAAGUAGGAAGUGUUCCCUGUGAACCCAUGAGACUUCAUCCCUGCGUUGGUCUGGCUGGCUUUCCCUGUGAGAAUCAGGUUCCUCCUGAAGAGCUGAAGCUCCAUUCCAGCUCUAGACUUCUCCUUGCUUUCAGACUUCAAGAUGAGAAGCAUUUUUCCAGUCCACAAGUGUUAGAGGACGCUGCCAAUGAUGUGUGUUUUGCCCAGGCUGGACUCAGCUUCGUCUUGCAGCCUGGCGAAGAGGCAGUGCUGUGCCAGGAAAUAGCACCCAGGCAGGACUCCAGGGUGGGGACCGCUAAUCUGGCUUUGCCACAGUUUUGA